rnacentral:rRNA from 1 species
UUGAACAUUCGGAAUUUUGAACGCAUAUUGCGGCCAUGGGUUAGCCUGUGGCCACGCCUGUCCGAGGGUCGG